CCCUUAGAUGUUCUGGGCCGCACACGCGCUACACUGAAGGAGGCAGCGUGUACUCCUGGAUCGAAAGAUUUGGGUAACCCGCGAAUCUCCUUCGUGCUAGGGAUUGAGGUUUGCAAUUAUCCUUCAUGAACGAGGAAUUCCCAGUAAGUGCAAGUCAUAAGCUUGCGCUGACUACGUCCCUGCCCUUUGUACACACCGCCCGUCGCUACUACCGAUUGAAUGAUUUAGUGAGGACUUCGGACUGGGACCGAUGCGGCUUUCGGGCUGCGUCGGUAUUCUGGAAAGAUGUCCAAACUGUAUCAUUUAGAGGAAGUAAACGUCGUAACA
rnacentral:rRNA from 1 species